rnacentral:tRNA from 1 species
ACCUUCAUGGUGUAAUGGUCAGCAUGCUCGACGCGUAACCGAGAGGUCCGUGGUUCGAUUCCCGGCGAAGGCG